rnacentral:rRNA from 1 species
CGCAAUGGGCGAAAGCCUGACGGAGCACGCCGCGUGAGUGAUGAAGGGUUUCGGCUCGUAAACUCUGUUAUUAGGGAAGAACAAAUGUGUAAGUAACUGUGCACGUCUUGACGGUACCUAAUCAGAAAGCCACGGCUAACUACGUGCCAGCAGCCGCGGUAAUACGUAGGUGGCAAGCG